UGAAAGCAUCUAAGCGUGAAGCCCCCUCCAAGAUAAGAUAUCCCACUUUUAAGUUAAGACCCCUUGAAGACUACGAGGUUGAUAGGUUGCGUGUGUAAGUACAGUGAUGUAUUUAGCUAGGCAAUACUAAUAGGUCGAGGGCUUGACCUU
rnacentral:rRNA from 1 species